AUUUUUAUCACCGUGUCAGCGGUUAUCCAAGCGUUCGUCAACUGAAAUGUUUACGCGAGUAUUGUUUCUGCCGUAAAAUGUUAAAUCACCUUCAAGGGUCUAUUGGAAACACAGUCACAUUUUAAAACAAAUAGGGGAUCAAGUGAUGGAGACGCCUCGCACGCCCAUCUACACCCUUGCAUGUCCAAGCCAGGCCUCUUGCCGUGAUGUCUAUCUAGAGAGAAAACCAUCUUCCCAUGGACACUUUUUGAUUCUAUCAGCCAUAUUCCGCGCCCAAAACCCCUGAGCCUGAGUCUAGCAAACCGCCACAAAAAAAAAAAAAAAAAAAAAAACCUCGCUGAGAAAUGCAAACGUUACAUUUUUGGUGAGAAUUAUGUAUGUGAUGCAUUAGUUGUGUUGUUAAGGUGAGGAAAAGGUAAGGGUGAGUGAGAAGGGAGAGAGCGGAGAGUUUCAAUGUUUGGAGGCGAGAGAUCGUUCUUAGUUGAUGGGGACGGAGGGCAUGGCGGGGACGAAGGGCAUGGCGGGGACGAAGGGCAUGGCGGGG
rnacentral:sRNA from 1 species